UGGAGAGUUUGAUCCUGGCUCAGAUUGAACGCUGGCGGCAGGCUUAACACAUGCAAGUCGAGCGGAGAUGAGGUGCUUGCACCUUAUCUUAGCGGCGGACGGGUGAGUAAUGCUUAGGAAUCUGCCUAUUAGUGGGGGACAACAUUCCGAAAGGAAUGCUAAUACCGCAUACGUCCUACGGGAGAAAGCAGGGGAUCUUCGGACCUUGCGCUAAUAGAUGAGCCUAAGUCGGAUUAGCUAGUUGGUGGGGUAAAGGCCUACCAAGGCGACGAUCUGUAGCGGGUCUGAGAGGAUGAUCCGCCACACUGGGACUGAGACACGGCCCAGACUCCUACGGGAGGCAGCAGUGGGGAAUAUUGGACAAUGGGGGGAACCCUGAUCCAGCCAUGCCGCGUGUGUGAAGAAGGCCUUAUGGUUGUAAAGCACUUUAAGCGAGGAGGAGGCUACUGAGACUAAUACUCUUGGAUAGUGGACGUUACUCGCAGAAUAAGCACCGGCUAACUCUGUGCCAGCAGCCGCGGUA
rnacentral:rRNA from 1 species